UGCUCCCUGAUUAUUGAAUUGAAAUAGGGGGUCGGACCUGCCCGGUGACAUAUGUGUUAAACGGCCGCGGUACCCUAACCGUGCUAAGGUAGCAUAAUCAUUUGCCUUUUAAUUGGAGGCUAGUAUGAAUGGUUUGACGAGAACUAAGCUGUCUCUAUUAAAUUAUUUAGAAUUUAAUUUUCAGGUGAAGAGGCCUGGAUUUAACUGAGGGACAAGAAGACCCUGUUGAGCUUUAGUGGAAGUAACAUAGUGUUAGGAGUAUUUAUUAUUUUAAACGAGGUUAUAUUUAUUUAUAUGUAGAUUAUGUUAUUAAUCUUUAGUUGGGGCGACUGAGGAACAGGUAAAGCUUCCUUUAGAAAUUGAUGGUUAGUGUUGACAGAUUUUAAUGAUCCAGUAUAAUUUUAUUGAUCUAAGGAAAAAGUUACCACAGGGAUAACAGCGUAAUCUUUCUGGAGAGAUCUUAUCGAAAGGAGGGUUUGCGACCUCGAUGUUGGACUAAGAUAUCCUAGGGGUGUAGCAGCUCCUAAUGGUUGGUCUGUUCGACCAUUAAAAUCUU
rnacentral:rRNA from 1 species